CUAUGCGCCUUGCCAGCCCGCUCAGUCAGAGUUUGAUCCUGGCUCAGAUUGAACGCUGGCGGCAGGCUUAACACAUGCAAGUCGAGCGGAGAUGAGGUGCUUGCACCUUAUCUUAGCGGCGGACGGGUGAGUAAUGCUUAGGAAUCUGCCUAUUAGUGGGGGACAACAUUCCGAAAGGAAUGCUAAUACCGCAUACGUCCUACGGGAGAAAGCAGGGGAUCUUCGGACCUUGCGCUAAUAGAUGAGCCUAAGUCGGAUUAGCUAGUUGGUGGGGUAAAGGCCUACCAAGCGACGAUCUGUAGCGGGUCUGAGAGGAUGAUCCGCCACACUGGGACUGAGACACGGCCCAG
rnacentral:rRNA from 1 species